rnacentral:rRNA from 1 species
UGGGAAUUUGGACAAUGGGGGCAACCCUGAUCCAGCCAUCCCGCGUGUGCGAUGAAGGCCUUCGGGUUGUAAAGCACUUUUGGCAGGGAAGAAACAGCCUGGGAUAAUACCCCGGGCGACUGACGGUACCUGCAGAAUAAGCACCGGCUAACUACGUGCCAGCAGCCGCGGUAAUACGUAGGGUGCAAGCGUUAAUCGGAAUACUGGGCGUAAAGCGUGCGCAGGCGGUUCGGAAAGAAAGGUGUGAAAUCCCAGGGCUUAACCUUGGAACUGCACUUUUAACUACCGACUAGAGUACGUCAGAGGGGGGUAGAAUUCCACGUGUAGCAGUGAAAUGCGUAGAGAUGUGGAGGAAUACCGAUGGCGAAGGCAGCCCCCCUGGAUGAUACUGACGCUCAUGCACGAAAGCGUGGGGAGCAAACAGGAUUAGAUACCCUGGUAGUCCACGCCCUAAACGAUGUCAACUAGCUGUUGGGGGUUU